UAUGCGAAACGCCGUCGACUCGGCUAUCACAUUUUUUUUUUAGUUAGUUUGGGCGCCAUAUUGUUACGGAACUGCAUAUUUCCCGAAGGGAAAGUGCCGGCUAUCCACGGAGUCCCAGGACGGAGUACCCCAUAUGCCCUGCAGUCCGAACAAUUGAUUCCGACUCAUCAGACGUCUCAAGUCACUAACCUUACAAUUACCAUCACUAUCGCAAAUCAAAACAAAACAAAGGUUUAUUUACUUUCAAAAAGAUUGAUAAUUGGACGAAAUUGGUGACUUUGGUAUCAUUACCACGACGCACCCAAGGGCAAUGUUGGAUGCACACCCCAUCUCCGGCAGACCGGAGUCUAUUCCUGGUGGAUUAUAAUCGGCUCAUCUCCCCGCCCAAGAAUUGAACGUUUGGUCAUGGUCGAAGCAGCAGCAAGAAAGAAGAGAAUGCAAGCGGCGAGAACCAGCACGAGUCCGCACGGAACCAAAUGGCCCGGAGGAAGCUCAGCCUUUGGCCAGUAGGGGCCGGAUGCAGUACGUCAGUGGUCCCAGGGAUGACGACGUAGUCAACGCGGGUAUUCGUUACCGGACUCACCGAGGGAAUCACCUUGUGGGGUCGUCACUUAGGCAAUUGCUGACGUUGAUGCCGCUGUUGAAGUCUGCAGCUGAUGUUGCUGCGGAUCGCUGCUGAUGCUGCUGCGGAUCGCUGCUGAUGCUGCUGCGGAUCGCUGCUGACGGUCAGGUGCAGUCUCGGUAGUCCUCUACGGAGGACGUGGUCUUCACGACCAGGUUAGGUCCGCCAUGUAAGUUUCUUCUGUUCACGAGUCUCCUAAAUAUCCGGUGCCCUUUAGAUAGGGUUCCCAGUGGCUUUAAUAUUUUUUAAAAAUCACUUAUUUAUAAGUUUAAGAUCAAUAAAUAACUACUCACUUUAACAUA